AAUGUUGAAGAGUAAACUGUGUUGGAGGAGGGGCAGAUUGCAGGAGGACGGCGAGGUCGAGGUCGCAGUCGAGGUCAGCUAGUCCGGGAGUCUCUCAGUAGAGCUCGGCGACUAGCGCAGAUUGUAGCUGGCUGCUCCCGCCAUGUAAGAUAGUGUGAUGUGUGGUGUUGUGUGCUAGUGUUGGCUACAGUUUUUGUGUUGGAUAACAAUCUUCAAUUUGCAAACGUGGACAUGAUUAGGGGAACGCCAGCGAGUUUAAUUGUUCCAACCUCUUAUCACGCCAACCCUUGGCUGCAGGUGACUGCCCUGUAUGGAGAACUCUGGUUUUGAGCUGGACACUGAAAAGGGGGAAGUUGAAAUGUCUGACGUGAAAAGGAACGGCAAAGACACGACACAAACUCACUCCUGCAAGCCGGACCUCUGCCGUGGGAUGUACGCGAGUUAC
rnacentral:misc_RNA from 1 species